AUCCCAUGAUGAGGACACUUACGAAAAAAUUCCAUGAAUCUUUCUCAUGGCUCAUACAAAGAUUUGUCAUCCAAUUGUUGAAAAAUGGUUAUCUCAUUUUGCAACU
rfam:Gossypium raimondii chromosome 10, whole genome shotgun sequence.